rnacentral:rRNA from 1 species
UUUUCAUUGGAGAGUUUGAUCCUGGCUCAGGACGAACGCUGGCGGCGUGCUUAACACAUGCAAGUCGAACGGAAAGGCCCUGCUUUUGUGGGGUGCUCGAGUGGCGAACGGGUGAGUAACACGUGAGUAACCUGCCCUUGACUUUGGGAUAACUUCAGGAAACUGGGGCUAAUACCGGAUAGGAGCUCCUGCUGCAUGGUGGGGGUUGGAAAGUUUCGGCGGUUGGGGAUGGACUCGCGGCUUAUCAGCUUGUUGGUGGGGUAGUGGCUUACCAAGGCUUUGACGGGUAGCCGGCCUGAGAGGGUGACCGGCCACAUUGGGACUGAGAUACGGCCCAGACUCCUACGGGAGGCAGCAGUGGGGAAUAUUGCACAAUGGGCGGAAGCCUGAUGCAGCAACGCCGCGUGCGGGAUGACGGCCUUCGGGUUGUAAACCGCUUUCGCCUGUGACGAAGCGUGAGUGACGGUAAUGGGUAAAGAAGCACCGGCUAACUACGUGCCAGCAGCCGCGGUGAUACGUAGGGUGCGAGCGUUGUCCGGAUUUAUUGGGCGUAAAGGGCUCGUAGGUGGUUGAUCGCGUCGGAAGUGUAAUCUUGGGGCUUAACCCUGAGCGUGCUUUCGAUACGGGUUGACUUGAGGAAGGUAGGGGAGAAUGGAAUUCCUGGUGGAGCGGUGGAAUGCGCAGAUAUCAGGAGGAACACCAGUGGCGAAGGCGGUUCUCUGGGCCUUUCCUGACGCUGAGGAGCGAAAGCGUGGGGAGCGAACAGGCUUAGAUACCCUGGUAGUCCACGCUGUAAACGGUGGGUACUAGGUGUGGGGUCCAUUCCACGGGUUCCGCGCCGUAGCUAACGCUUUAAGUACCCCGCCUGGGGAGUACGGCCGCAAGGCUAAAACUCAAAGGAAUUGACGGGGCCCCGCACAAGCGGCGGAGCAUGCGGAUUAAUUCGAUGCAACGCGUAGAACCUUACCUGGGUUUGACAUGGAUCGGGAGUGCUCAGAGAUGGGUGUGCCUCUUUUGGGGUCGGUUCACAGGUGGUGCAUGGCUGUCGUCAGCUCGUGUCGUGAGAUGUUGGGUUAAGUCCCGC